UCUCUCUCUCUCUCUCUCUCUCUCUCUCUCUCUCUCUCUCUCUCUCUCUCUUUUUUGGAGGAAACCAGGGCGCCAGAUGCUUUCAAAUUGGUCAAGAGGAUUCUUUUGGUCACCUUCUCCCUCUAAAAAGUUUUCUUAGAAGCGGAGGUCAAUGCCUAUAUUUUUCUCUAUCGAACUAAGGUCAGCUGCUUUAACAUCUUGCAGUUUGUGAGAUCUCUAUCCAAACUCUUCCAAAAUCCAAACUAUUAACCUUAUUAUAUAUGAGUCUUACCCAGCUUUUAUUUUGGCAAUUUCUGCAGUUUUCCUGACCAUGUGGCUUUUUCUUAUAAUCAUAACUCAAGGGCCCAAGCUUUAUUUUGAGGACCCUUCCCUCCACUCAAUCUCAACAUGCUCUCCCUUUUUCACCGAAAAGCUUACGGUAAUAAUAAUGAAGUCACAAACUUCACUGACUUUUUACAUUAGCCCUCCUCAAACAAACUCCAUCCUCUAUUACCCCAUACCCCAAUCUCAGAAUUUAGAGAGAGAGAAAGAGAGAUGCUGGUUCAUCAGAGUUGCAGACUUUCCAGUAAGUGAACAUCUUUCCCCUAUUGCUGUGUUUCUCAUUUUUGAUGUGUUCAUGAAAUUCUUUCUGUACUGUCCUGUAAAAGCAUGUCAAUUUUUCAAUAGGAAACAGUAGAAUUCAGGCAGCACGUACCAAAUGCAUUUCUAAUAUAGAGAGAGGGAGACUGGAAAAAGCACAGUAAAAGCAUAGAAUCAGCCUUAACUCUCCUGCUUAAAGAGAGAGAGAGAGAGAGAGAGAGAGAGAGAGAGCAAGCAGUUUGCACGCAAAACCAACCAAUUUCAUUUCUUUCCAAUCCUGAACAUAGGGGGAGCUACACAUGAUAACCAAAAAAUAAGAAGAAGAAAACCUUUUUCUUCUUCUGUGGGAGCUACACAUGAUAACCAAAAAUAAAUAAGAAGAAAACCCUUCUUCUCUUCUGUGCCUGCAGAAAGCAGACAUGUAUACACACUCAAAAGGCUUAUUUGCCCUGCACACCAAAAAAACAAAUACCAAUCCACCAAUCCACUUCAACUGGUCAAUCCUAAUCUUACUCUUUUCUUCUUUCCUUUUUUUUGUUUUUUUCUCUGUUUUUCUUUCUGACUACUUCUCUCUUUUUCUCUCAGUGCCGACUAUACUUACACUCACGGACACAUUAUGUAAUUCUUCAGUUUCUGUACAUAUAAAACUGAUAAAGACCUGACCAUUUAUCACAAAAAGACGAUAAAAGAACACACAUUCAUAAGAUAAGAAAGAAUGGUGAGUAGACCCCCUGUGUGUUUUUGAAGAGGGAUAAAGGAGGCUGAAAUCAAAGGGCAUGAGUAAGUGCCCUCCUGCAAGAUGGUGGGGAUGUCUUGUUAGAAGAGGUCGGAAUGGAGGUAGUUUUCUGGAUUGGCGAUGGGGUCGCCAGACCGAAUGUACUUAAUAGGAAUUGCCUCUCCUGAAGAAUGGACAGACACCAUGUUAGAGAAAGAGAGAGAGAAAGAGAGAGAGAGAGAAAGUGUGUGUGUGUGUGUGUGUAUUGGAAUGUGUAUUGUAUUAUGUGCAUUUCUUUUCCUACUUGGAAUGUGUUUUGUAUAUGUGCAUUUCUUUUUCUACUUUCUUACCAUUAUUCAUGAUAAUUCUUUUUUUUUCUACACCUACAUACAUACACACAGAUCAAUGGAAUCUAGUGUUUAACUAAGCUACUGCUGAAUGGAACUGGCAGAACUGAUGGAACCCAUUGCAUGUGAUAGAAGAGAGUGUCAAUGGUGAUAAGUUAGACAAAGCUUGAAAGGAGAAAUGUAGAGUGUCAAUGGUGAUAAGUUCGGCAAAGCUUGAAAGGAGAAAUGCAGGGAAACAGUAAAGGUACGUGUUUUCUUUUCUUUUUUUUCUUUUUUUAAAUAUGAAAUAUGUUUCACCUCAUACAAUGUACUCAACUUAGAAAUCUCAAGAGAUUCAGGGGAACCAAGAGAGCCUAUGUUUUUUGAAAUAUGAAAUAUGUUAACAACUGUGUUUCCUCAAUAGUGAGAAUCUUUAGUUUUAACAAGAAACAUGCCACUGUUUUCUUAUCAUGUCCAGUGGCCAGUGCUUCUUGCAAACCACAGUCAACUAUCGUCAUCUUUUCGAACAACUGAAAGAUAAAUAUACGUUCCAAAUAUUGUAGUGUAGGAGUUUAUACAUUACACAAACCAACUAAUUUGGAUGUAUGAGGUACAGGAAUAUUGGUCUUUCCAGGGUUCUCUUCUGCCCAACAAGUGAUAUGCAUAUCUGCAGGUAAGAAAAAUUCCUGCACCUCCCUCUCUCUCUCUCUUCCUCUACUGGUACGUACGGAGACGAAGGCCAACUACCGNGGGGUAAAUGGGNNNNNNNNNNNNNNNNNNNNGUUACGUUACGUUACGUACGUACGUACGUACGUACGUAGUAGUACGUAUACGUACUACGUACGUAACGUAACGUAACGUACUACUCCUCCUCCUCCUCUCUCUCUCUCUCUCUCUCUCUCUCUCUCUCUCUCUCUCUCUCCUCCUCCUCCUCCUCCUCCUCCUCCUCCUCCUCCUCCUCCUCCUCUCUCUCUCUCUCUCUCUCUCUCUCUCUCUCUCUCUCUGCAUAUUGUGCGUGUGCAUGUGUGACUUAAACAUCAAACAACAGAAUAAACUGAGGGAACAUUUAGCAAAUGCUUCUUACACUGUCUGAAAACUGUGGACUCGGAAUACCAUCAGCGAAUGACCGAAAAAAUGGGAUCAUUCGAAGAGGAGAUGAGAACUCCACAUUCACUGAGAAACACGAGAACUUUCCAUCUUCAUUUGGCUGGAUGCAAGAUGAUAAUAGCCCCUCUGCAUCAAAAACCAAGACUCAAUCCAAUGCCAAUCCCAACAAAGCCAGACAAAACCAUAAAAAAAGAGGGGGGUCAUGCCUGUAGAAUAACCAUCUUCAAUUCCUUGAAUCUCUUCUUCAUUUUUCUCCCCAAUGCAAUCAUCUGUGUUUUCUUCCUUGUUAAAGGCUACGCAUUCUUCUGUUUGUCUUUGAUCUAUUUUGGUUAUUUCUGCAUUAGACUGGGGAUUUGAGAUGGCACUGUCUCCAGAAUUUGCUGAUAGGUCCUCAUACAAUUCAGAUUGCCUAUGCAAUGAAACCGACCAUAUUUUGUCACCAUCUUGGGCUGUCAAAUUACUAUAGCUUCUUGAAUAAUAAUUGGCUUAUUACCUCAAUGGAAAAGGGCUCCCUGUUUGACUGCUUUUCAAAUCUGUAAUCAAGUUUUUGAAGUCUUCAAAUAGUGGAUCAAGACCGGCAACUUUGUGUCUCAAAAUAUCUGAAUCUCCACUCUGAGCUAAGAACUCCUGGAGUUCCUGUAGUUCACAGAACAUUAAAUAUGAGGUACAAAUUUAAGAAAAAUGUUUAUUCAAAUUAAAGAAUAUUUUUUGAAAUUAAGUUCUUUUAGUAAAUAUUAUUGUUUCUAAUGUAAAGUGAGCAGCUUAGGGUCCAUUUGAUUGUCAAAUUAGAUCCAAGGAGUUUUUUUUUUUUUUUUCUCAAUUUAUAUUUGACCAAAUCAUAUUUUGGUGAAUUUUCAUUUCCUGCUUACAGGUGUGUGAUUGUCCCAAUUUGAAUUGCAAUUUUUUAUUGUGCGGUGCAAUGGUUAGGUGUGGCCAUGUGCAACGGAGGUGGUAGUGGUGGAGUGGUGGUGUUGGUGGUGGCAGCAGUGGAAUGGUGGUGGUUGUGGCUGGAUCGUGGUGGUUAUGGCAGUGCGGUGGUGGUCGUGGCAGUGCACUGGUGUUGGUGGCGAUAUGGGUGGCAAUGGUGGUGGGGUUUUGGUAAAGAGAGAGACAAUUGAUGCAAAAACCACUCCUAGUGGUUUUUCCACAGAUGACAAUUGGGGGUCGAAAAAUCAAUUGCAAUUUCAAAAUCUAACAGACCUACAGGGUCACAUUGUAAUUGGCCAGAUUUGUAAUUUGGUCCAAGUUACAAUUUGGCCUCAAUUUGGCUAGAAAUGAAAUGCGCCCUUAGUAUGUGGUUAUGGCCUUAAUGUGAGACCAAACUGAGAACAUGGAUCAGAAAUGCUUUACGAUAUUUGCAUUUGCUCACCUUCCAUGCAUUCUCAAAACUUUGAUUGGAUCCUUGUGUGUUAACUUUCAGGGCAAGAGAGCUUAGCAGUUCUGCUUGCUGCAACAAAGCAGUGAUCCUUGGGUCAUUCUUAGCAAGGAAUGUUUCUUGGACCUUUUUAUCACCCGAUCCUGCAUUUGGAUUAAAGGGUAAGAGUAAGUGACUAUAUACAUGUUCGAAGUCAAACCAUUUAUAUAUGAUUGCAUAUAAAUUUGAUUCUCGGUGCCAUAGUUCUUGUCUAUGAUGAAGAAAUAUUCAAGGGAAAUAAACACUCAUAUCCCCCUAAUUUUAUGUUAUCAAAUGAACCCCCCCCCCCCCCCUCCCCCCCCACCCAAAUGUUGUAUUUAAAGUUAAUACCCCUUUUCUCAAUUUCUUUCUGAGCUUCUGGGUUGAAAAUCAUAACUUAUGUGAUGACUUUGGAUCUUACAGAUCUGAAGUAAACUUUUUUUAAUAAUAACUUCAAACCUUUAAGAUCCAAAGUCAUCUCUUGGUGUCAAACCUUGAAGGUCCAAAGCCAAGAUUUAUAUUUGAGAUACAAGUCUUGGCUUUGCCCCUUUAAGGUCCAAAAGCCAAAGACUUCAAAAAAGAGAAAAAAAAUAUUGGCUUUGGUAGUUAUUCUAGGAAGACUUCCAUUGUUUUUUAAGGCUUUGCCUUUGGACGUUGAUGGUUUGAAGCCGACUGAUACAAUUCUUGGAUUCUCAAGGGAUGACCUUGGAUCUUUAAGGUCCAAGGUUAUAAUUUAAGAAACUUUGCUUCGGACCUUCAAAAUCAGAAGUCAUCACAUAAUUUAUGACUUCAGAUCUAAAGUUUGAAAUGGGGCAUUUUGAAAAAAAAAUAAAAAGUUGAAAAAGAAAGGUACUAGUGUAAUAUACAACAUUUUAGGGGGAUUUUUUAAAUAACGAGAACAUUAGGAGGACAUGAACAUAAAUUUCCCAAUAUUCAACAAUGGUUCCCCUGUCCAUGCUUUAUAAUAUUAUUUUUUUGGGUAAAUAUCUCUUAUGAUAUUAUUGAAACAUCAUAAAUUGCAAAAAACUAAACAUCACAGUAAUGUCGAUAACUCUCUCUGCACAUGCAGGACUAUAAUAAAAUGAGAGCUAAACAAAUCAUCAAAAGAGACAUAAUUACUGAGAGAAACUGCAUACUAUGAAAAUAAUAAGUACAACUCAAUUUUGGGGCAAAAAGAAUGGUGAUCCAUUUACCAUCUUUUGUUGCUAAUUUGGAUUCAUCAUUGUUGAGACACUCAGUUGAUAGGUCUACUAUGCUGUUGUAGUUGGGUACCAGAGCUGCAAGAGGAGAUCUGACUUGCUGACUUAUCGAACCCAAAUCUCCGCGAGACCUCCCUUUCUUUCUAGUAUUUACAUCAUGAAU
rnacentral:lncRNA from 1 species